AAUGAUUAUAGUCAUUUUAUUUAGAUACAAUCACGUGGUGCAAUUUAUUCCUUGGAAUAAUUUAAUUUUGAAGUACUUAACAUUCACAGUAAUCAGCUUUAAGUGUAAAUAUUUAGUGUCAAGUGAUGUCCAGGCAAGUUAGAACUACACGUUCUAUUGUGUUUUCAGUUUUUCUUUUCACCAAGUUCUGCCUAGGAAAAAAAAGAAGAGAAAGCCACCUACUUUCUACAUGUCUUUUGGGCACUUUGUUUUUGCCCUGCUUUAGGUUUAUUAUGCUGAUAAUUAUAUUUUCAAUAAAAAAGAGCCAUCUGACAUUGUUGAAAAAACAUAGGCUUCAUAGCUGAGUUUAAUCCGAUUUCCACUAUGAGUUUAUUGGGAUUUUGGGGCAAACUUUUUAGUCUCCAUUUUCUGAUCUGUCGAUGUUACACCACCUGCUUUGCAGAAUUUUAUGGUUUACAUUUAGUGCAUUCUGGGUGCUGAUAUUAUUUGUCGUCUUUACUUUGUCUACAGCUCAUGUCUAACAGAAUUUGUGAGAACUCAGUAAAUGCUUUUUCAAAGUUAAUUUUAUUUAUCAGAUUGUUACCAGGGAAUUGUAAGAUGAUAACUAUUUAUUCAAUCUCCCUGGAAAAAAUAAGACAUUCAAUUAGAAAAUAAGAGUAAUAUUUAAAUUAGUGUAUAUUUGUUUUAUUACUUGUGCCUGUUAGAGAUACCUGUUCUUGUUUAUAAAUAACUUUGUGAAGUGGAAUUUAGUAAAUCUGGAACCCAUGUUUCUAUGUCUUAGUUGCUGAAGAAACCAGGUAGAUUUGAUCACAAAGUAGGGUUUUAUGUGAAUCU
rnacentral:lncRNA from 1 species